GGUGCAGUGGUCUAAGACACUGCAUCUCAGUGCAGGAGUCGUCCCUGGUUUGAAUCCAGGCUGCAUCA
rnacentral:tRNA from 1 species